rnacentral:rRNA from 1 species
GGCUCAGGACGAACGCUGGCGGCGUGCUUAACACAUGCAAGUCGAACGGGGAUUAAGCUGGAAAGGUUUCGGCCCGGAAGGUUAAUUCGAGUGGCGGACGGGUGAGUAACGCGUGAGCAACCUGUCCCAGACAGGGGGAUAACACUUGGAAACAGGUGCUAAUACCGCAUAAGACCACGGGGUCACAUGGCCUUGGGGUAAAAGGAGCAAUCCGGUUUGGGGUGGGCUCGCGUCCGAUUAGAUAGUUGGUGAGGUAACGGCCCACCAAGUCGACGAUCGGUAGCCGACCUGAGAGGGUGAUCGGCCACAUUGGAACUGAGAGACGGUCCAAACUCCUACGGGAGGCAGCAGUGGGGAAUAUUGGGCAAUGGGCCGAAAGCCUGACCCAGCAACGCCGCGUGAGUGAAGAAGGCCUUCGGGUUGUAAAGCUCUGUUAUAGGGGACGAAGGAAGUGACGGUACCCUAUAAGGAAGCCCCGGCUAACUACGUGCCAGCCGCCGC